UCCGCACCGGGCUAGAGGCGCCUCCCGGGGCUGCGGGUCCCCGAAGCGCCUUGGCCGCGGGGGCUGGCUGCGCUGUGGCGGGCACGGGAGCCUGGGAGGGAAGCGCGUCGGGGGCCGCGGAGGAAGGGCGCCUCCCUCCGCGGGGGCUGCAGCCUCCAAUUCUCCGGGGGGGGGGCGGAGGCCGUACUGGACUCCCGCCGCCUUCCUCCCUGCCCACAAGGCUGGCCACUAGUCUCCUUUCGUCCCCGUCCCCCGCCUGGUGAGUGCGUGGCUCAGGAGAGGGCCGCGCCGGGCCUCCUCGCCUCGAAGCGCCCCUCAGCUCCGCUGCUGCGCGCAGCUGUGCUUGCGCGCGCCUGUGCUGGCGGCAUGCUGGGCGCCCUCGACGGCUCUUGCGCUUGCCGAGCAGAGGCCCUUCCAGUCCCGGGGCAGCCCUCGCCAGCAGCCUGUCCUGCGGCUCAGAGCGCCUCUUCUAAUAAGUCGAGCAACCCGGACGCAGCUGCGCGCGCUGGCGGAUCUCGGACCCCAGCCGGAGCAGCCUCCUGCCCAGGAUCUUAGACGGCGCCUUCGGAAUUUUUGGUAGCUGGGACGCACUUCAGAAGUGAAAUGGGCGACACGCUUGCUUUUUUUCUUUUAGCAUGGAAGGGUAAAUAUUGGCCUCAUCAAAAGCACUUCACCGAUUUCUGUGUGAGUCUUUGAAAUGUGUCUCCUCAGAUACUGUUGUCAAGGCUAAGGCAGCAUCCCAUGUAGAGAUGCAACAGGCAGCGUCUUUUGACAGUAGUUGGAAUGUGCUGCUUGUUUUUGGUACCACUCUGUAAUAACCUUAAAUCUUUUGUUAAACCUUUGGCUUUGGACUAGGGUUGCCAGGUACCCUUACCCUCCAGGCAGGAGGUUAGACACCUGGCACUCACCUUACAGCAGUCCUCACACCUGCGCUCCCAGGGCUAUGUAAUGACAUCACUUCCAGAAACUGACAUCAUCUUGCAGGCCGCAUGCCAUUCCUGGGAGCUCUCCUGCACUCCGCAGCAGGCUGCUUUCAGCCACUAUAGGGGCAGCAUGACAGCCCGGGAGUGCUCCUGUGCUGCUCAGCAGACCGAUUUCAACCCGUUUCAGACUGAAAUCAGCCCACUGCAGUGUGUGGGAGCAUGCCGUGCCACCCAGGAGCACAUUCUCGGAGGCAUGUUCCCUCUCCUUUCCCCCCACUGGCCAAGUAAGCAGGAGCCGGGGGGGGGGUGAAGAGUAGGAGCAGGGGAUUCCCGUGCCCCCAGCGAGGUACUGGCAACCCUACUUUGGACCUAAAAUCCAUUCUUCCUUACAUUGCCUUAAACAUAUAACUCAAGAGGGCUCUGAUCCCACUCAAGGCUCCUUAUAUUUCCACUCACAUGGAACUUCAAGUGUUCUCUACUUUACCCAGGCUUAUACCUCAAGAACUCCCUUUUUUUGUUUGUGUGACCUUUAUAUUGCUACUUCUCUGACUCUCACAAAAGGUUUUCACUGCCAACAAAGGUUUUCACCUUAGACCUCCUUGGUUUAACUUGUAAUAUAGGAGGGCUUUGUUAUAGAUGAUAGUUUGACAGAAUGGUUAGCAUGUGAGGGUUUUUUAAAUCAAAAGUAGAGUUUAUAAGUACAUAAGUAUGAUUGAUACAGAGUAUUGAUAAGUAUAUCGGUUUCAGAAUAAAUCUUGGAAGCUUGGUGGUUUCAAAAAUAAUUGUAUCUUCUUAAAGGCACCCAGGGGAUUUCUGUCUCUGCUAGUGAAGGUUGCUUACAGAAAUGGAGAGACCACUGCUGAGAUUAGCAAGCUGAUAAACGAAAACCACAAUUAGAGAUUUUAUUUCCAUUGUGCUUAUUAGAAUCACAAAGCAGCAUUCAGCAAACCUUCCUAAUUCUGAAAGCCAUGUGCCAAAAAUAUUUCAGUGGUUGAGAGAAGAACUAGCCAUAGCAAGGCUGGAUUAACUAUUAUACUAAGUAAACUGUAAAAAAGAGACCCAAAUGGUGAUGAAGUCAUGUGUUCACACUGUCCUGUAUAAUUUCAAGGCUCUUUUUAAAAUGCUUUUAUAGCUAGGGUUGCCAACAGGUCUAGAGAAAAAUUAACUAUCCUUUGUUAAAAGGCUCAAUUUUGGAAACGGGUAGCUGAAUCUUUUGACGGCAUGGAGGUAAAUAACAGCCCAGUAAGUCCAUAUUAAAAGAACUGUUGUGUUUUUUUCCAAGCAGUUGACAUCUCCAGAUAGAGGAGGAAAGACUGUUUUGUGCAGUGCGAAUGGCCUGGAGAAAAGACUUAAGUGGAUGUUAUUUAUCAGGUGAUGUUAUUUCCCCUCAUGCCAUUAAAAGCUUCAGCUGUCCCUUUCAACACGUUUCUAUUUAAAGGGACAGGACAUUUUUUGCUAGGCUUUUCGGCAGCCCUGCUUACAAUACAGAAACAGCUUUGCACAAAAGAACUAAGGACAUCAAGUAAUAACAAGCGACUGUUUUCCUUUUGAUCCACUGGUGCUUGCACUAUUUGAAAAGCCUUGUUUGUGACAAUGAAUUGAUAACUACUUUUAACCUGGCCAAGAUCGGCAGUGCCCUAAAAUGGAAGAGGCUCUGUGUUCCUUUGAGAGCAUACAGGGUUAGUGGCUGGAGGAAUGCGCUCCUGUUAAUGGACAAGCAUGGCUGCUUGUAUGCCCAUGACUGCAACUUUUCUUGAUCACAGUUAAUUGUUAGAUUUUAAUAUAAACCAUCUCAAGUGUAUUGUGGAGAGACAGGAUAUAAAUAUUUUAAACACAUUUAGGGAGGUAGUAGUUUAUUGCAAUUAGCCAUUGGCUGUAGCAAUAUACAGUUGAUAAUGAUACCAUAAACUCCAAGAGCUACAAAAUAUCAAUGCAACUACAGCAAGUAAUACCCUAAAACCAUGUAAUAAAAUAUCUCUCCAGGUUCCCCACUGGUUGCCACAGUUGCUCUUAUCUUUCUUGCUGCAACUGCUAAUAGACUUAAUAAGACACUUCCGCAUCUGUGUUAGAUAGCAAUAUGGAGAGCCAGUUUGGUGUAGUGGUUAAGAGCGUGGGACUCUAAUCUGGAGAACUGGCUUUGUUUCCCCAUUGCUCUGCUUGAACCCAGCUGGGUGGCCGUGGGUCAGUCACAGCUUCUAGGAGCUCUCUCAGCCCCACCCACCUCACAGAGUGUUUUCUUGUGGGGAUAAUAGUAACAUACUUUGUAAACUGCUCUGAAGGGUGGUAUAUAAAUUGCAUGUUGUUACUUUCUUGACACACAUUUAAAGAAAUACAACCAGGGGAACCUGGGGUUCAAAUCUCCACUCUGCCAUGCAGUUAUCUGAGUGAGCCUGACUCAGUCACUCACUUAGCCCAACCUACCUUGGAGGGUUCUUGUGAGAAUAUAAUGAGGAAGGAAAUCAUGGAAGAAUUCUUAGAAAAAUUAAUGGGUAGAUUAGGCAAUACCAAGAGCCUGUAUUAACUUUGUUUUAUUGAUAAAAAUGAUGUUUUGAUAAACACAUUUUUAGAAGGAAAACCAGUGCUGCUGUCUUGAGGGAGAAACCAGCUAUGUGGAGAAAGCCACUAGGAAGGGUAAAAGAGCUAACUAGAGCUCUCACAUCCAGAAAAUCUUGUUCAGCCAUCCCAUGCACUUUGGAGAUCUCACCAAGCAAUGUCCACGAGCUUUCGAAGCACAUUUCUACACAUAUCAGGACAAGAAUCUGUCUGCUGGUGCUUUUUUUAGGGAAGCUGAGAUACUCAGUUUUAGGCACCACAAUUUAGACAAGCUGGAACAUGUCCAGAGGAGGGCAAUGAAGAUGGUGAGGAGUUUGGAGACCAAGUCCUAUGAGGAAAGGUUGAAGGAGCUUGGUAGCAGGACUCCAUUACCAGCCAGGGGCAUUCCUAUGGGCUGCCUGCUGGGGACAAGUGGCCCCGGAUGCCCUGGCCAACCAUGCGGGAGACACCCCCCCCACACACACGCCAGCCAAGGAGCCCUGGGACAGACAAGGGUCUGUGCUUCGAGGGCUUCAUGCGUGACUGUCCUCCCAUGGAGUGUGAUACGGGCUGGGAAGACGCCCUCCCGCUAACAAGUCAGCCGCAGCCCCGGAAGACUUGCAAGCCCCCGCCGAAGUAACUGACAGUUGAAGUCACGGGGAAACGACUUUUGGCUCUUUUGGACAGUGGAAGCUCCAUCUUCAUGAUACGGGACCGGUUGCUCCCAGCUGGACUACCAGUUGUCCGCACAGCUACAGUUGUCUGUUUCCAUGGCCACUCUGAGGACUACCCAGUGGUGAAGGUGCCCAUGAUGUAUGAGGGACAGCGCUGGAUGGUGGAACUGGCAAGAGUGACUGCCCUACCCUAUCCUGUACUCUUGGGGAGAGAUGUGCCCUGCUUUGCUCACCGCCUAUGGCAGGUUUCAGCUCCAUCAGAAGCCCUGCCGGUCAAAGAGCAGCCACAGGGAGGCCCUGCUCCUGCGGACGGUUGGAGCACCCUCAAAGCUUGGGAAACUGAUCCAGCUUUCAGAGAAGCCCAGGAAAUGGAUGCCACCCUGGGACAGCUGCAAGACAUAGUCGCAGAGCCAUUGUAGUAUUUGCAAUGCAACCUGUAAGAAUAUGACACUUGAAACAAGAAGACCAAAGAAGAAUGUAUGCUGAAACUCUGUAAGAACUGAGGACUAAACAAUAUACUGCUUGUAGAGAUGCACCUAUAGAAAUAUUACACAGAUGUUAUAUUAUCCUAUAGGAUUCCAAUAGGAAUCAAUACAAGAGAGCCUUUUGUAAAAACUGAUUAAUGUAGCAGGCUGGGUCAGCCACCUGUGGCAUUAUCUCUCUCAAGGCUGCAAAAGGGAGAGAGUGCAGAAGUGGGGGAACAAUCCUUCCUGCCCACGGACCUCAGUUAUCUGAAGGCCCCAAGGCUGCCAAGAUGAGACUUCAUGGCACCGGCGAAGGUAACAUUGGCAAAAGGGAGAUGGGCAAAGAGGAGGCAGAAGGUGUCCUUCCUAAGGGAACAGGCAGAAGGACAAGAUAAGGAACUGCAAAUUUUGGAAUUCCCCCUAGUAGGUAGCUGACCUAGCUUUGCGUCUUCCAAUCAAACUAACCCUAGACACCUGUGUCAAAAGACUAUGAGCCAAUAAGAUAACAAAUAUUAGAAUAUUGUAAUAUUAUUAUAAUUAACCUGAGGGUAUUAAUUGCUUUGCACUUCUAUUGUAGCCUUGAUGAGCUUUGCACACAAGGAGACCAUCUACUCCAGUGUAAACUGCUCCUCCAUUGUUUAAAUUAAACAAUCUAAUUUGCUUCAA